UAGAUGAGGAUGAGGCAAUUUUAGCAUUAUAUCCAACACUUGAUCUGAGGAAUUUGUUUCCAAGUGAUUGCAACUUUUUGCUUCUGAAUCUAU